GAUCAGCAAGAAGGUUUGAUCACUGCAAGUGAAUGUGAUGAUAGAUGAAAUAUGUUUCACCAGUAGGAACAAAAUGUCGGGGCAAAAUCUAGAUUAGCAUUCAAUGAUAGAAUGUAAUCACGCCUUUUUUAAACCCGUGACCAAGCUUCAAUAAUAAGCAUAGUCUAAUCAAUAUAGAAGAGGUUGCGACAGUCACAGUCUCAUAGCUUGGAAAAGGACAGGGGCCCUCUUCCUCAUUCCACACAUAUUUCAUUACUACCAACACUUCCUCCUGCUCAGACCUUUUACUUUGUGGCAUCAUUUC
rnacentral:lncRNA from 1 species